AAAACUUGUGCUGUUGAUUGACUCAUUCAACAUAUUUGACUGUGCACGGCUCUUACUCCCGUGUACACCCCUUUCCGGAAAACAUACAAAAGAAAAAGCAGCUGCAUUCUUCCCAUUUCUUACUCUUAUUGCCUUUUAUAUCCUUCAUCUCAGUUCAAAUUUGAAUCUCAAGUGAAAUCAAAAUCUACAAUAAUUUUAGCAGUUGCAUCCACUCUCUCCAUCUGCUUUAUUACCACAUUCACACACGAUUCAAAUUUCAAAUAUGAAUCUCUCUCUUCUCUCUCUUCAUCACUAAUCUCACUGUCAAUUACUAACCUAUGCAGAAUGGAUAAGAAGGGUCACAUUGGUACUAUUUAUCAUGUCAUUCUUGACGCUUCUGAUCUCAGCUUAUUAUCGUGUUGCAGGUUGUCGAUCUUAUUAUGCGGCCACCCAUGAAAUUCAUUGGUCGAUUUUGACAGAGGGAUAUUCUGGUGCAACUUCCGAAUUCUUGUGGUCAUAAAACUCAAGUUGUAGCUGGUGGUGAACCUAGAAAUUGACCAAGUCAACAGAAAGGCUGAAAAGGUUUAGCUUGGUCCAGACCUACACCAUCAUGACUGAUUAAAUUUAUUCUUUGUUAGUUAUUUGGCUUGGAACAAGAAAAUCUGAAAGAAAAUUGCUCUGAGAAACGUGAAUUCUUGAAGAAGUGACCUGAAAAGUGCUACAAAAGAAACUAAGCAACUCAAAUUAUUGCGAAGUGAUCACGUUCAAGGAAAAUAUCAAGGUCUUCUGCAAAUCUGUGCCUUUAAAUCAAGGUAAACACCCGUCACCAAGUAUCCCUUAAAUAAUAAAUCUUGAGAGGCACUAAGAUUCGAUCUUUAUAUCUUUGUAGGCCUAAUUCUUUUGAGAGGCACUAAGAAAGCUUUGUUAGAUAAGAGGUCAGGAAAGAUUUGUUUGCUGAUAUCUUCAUAUGGGUUGGCGAUCACCGGGAUUGAUGAUAGGAGAUAUUGGAAUCGAAUACCUACCACAGAGCCCAGGUGAGGACACUGGCGAUGACUAUCUUGCUAUUUUUUUCUAAUUAAGUGGAAGAUAGUCUGUGCAUGUUAUUUACUUGGUAUUUUUUAGAUUCUGCUGAUCGAAUCCCAGUGUUCAAGACAUUUAUUGCUCCAAAUCAAGUAAAAACAGGUCGUUUGCUUUCCAGAUUGCUUACAUUUGAGUCAUUUAACUGAUAGGUGACUCUGUAUGGAUGAGUAUAGCCAUGUUGUUAUUGCAUAUGAAUUUAUGUAAUUUAGUACCAGAUAGAUACAGUUCUACGUGUUUGUCUUAUCAAUGAGAUUGUUUAUUGGGCUACGUAACCAAAGUGGCUGAAUUUUAUGAAGAGUUUUAAAUAUGACGUUUUAUCUAUUUGUUUGGAUUUAAGUCCCUGUGUUUCAUUUAUGUGUGUGAGGGUGGGCGGGAGUUCUUAGUGAUCGGAAACUUGGAUCCUUUAUUUAUUAUAUUCUUUUUUGCAUUAUUUGCAUUAUGGUCAAUUACAAGAAUAUAAGCUCUCUCAUACACACAUGCCUUCUCCUUGACUUAAAUUAUUAGAUAUUUUUGCAUAAACUGUAUAGUUUAUAGGGCAUGGACUGGAAGAAAUUCAAGGGCCAACGUAUGGGGGAACAAAUUGUUUUUAUACAAGAAAAGUUAUAUACAAGCUUUCACCUGAUAUUACACACUGGCGAACUCAGUGAUCUGAUAGCUGCUUGCUUUUGAAAGGGUUCUUAAAAGGAUGAAGAAAAGUCCCGAGGGCAGGGUGGCACCUCUGCUGGUUCAAGCAUUUUCGACUAUUCCAUACCUUUCACAAGUUUCAUUUAUCGGAACAGAUGGUUUGUUCUUCUCAUACUACAACAAAGAAAAUUAGCAACAGCCCCGUUUCCGUAUAUUCCAACUCCUUAUCGCCUAUCAACCGAAAAAAACUCAACAAUGUAGACAUGGUACACUGAGCCGGUUAGUCGCAACACUGGAAAGCCAUACGGAGAAGCUAUGAUUACUCCUCCAAGUACUACAAAUGCAACUACAAACAGAUAAAGUGGUCUCUGUAACAAUCUGCAUAAAACCCACAAGGCAAUGAUCUAUUUCGUGAAUGUCCUGGCAUAUGAUUUUUAAUUAUAUUGAAUUGACUCAAUUCAUACUACGCUCAGUUUAAUAUGCACAUCACACAUCUAUUUGUUAUUUGUUAUUUAUUGAUUCUGUAUAA